rnacentral:rRNA from 1 species
AUUGAAUGCUGGCGGCAGGCCUAACACAUGCAAGUCGAACGAGUGGCGGACGGGUGAGUAAUGUCUGGGAAACUGCCUGAUGGAGGGGGAUAAUUACUGGAAACGGUAGCUAAUUCCGCAUACCAUCAGAUGUGCCCAGAUGGGAUUAGCUUGGUGGUUGGGUAACGGCUCACCAAGGCGCAGAUCCCUAGCUGGUCUGAGAGGCUGACAUGCAACACGGGGACGGAGACAUGGUCUGGAGUCCUACGGUGGGCGGCAGGGGGGAAUAUUGUACAACGGGCUUUAGUCUGAUGGAGUCAGGGCGGGUUGAUGAAGAAAGCCUUAGGGAUGCAAAGUUCGUUAAUCUGGGAGGCGUUACCCGCAGAAGUAGCACCUGCUAACGCCGCUCCAGCAGCCGCGGUAAUAC